rnacentral:piRNA from 1 species
GAAAGCCGUUGCUUCCCUUGUU